AGUGACGUAUUUGUAUUCAGUGAUUUACCUCUUGAAAGCCACAGAGCUAAUGGUUGUGAUGUUGAUUCUGGUGAUUGGCCUCAAAAAACCAGUAAAAGUAUGCUCUUUGCGCCAAGGCAUUCACAACCAUGUAUUGCUUAAAUUGGACUUGUGACUGUUUGGGAAGAUUUUAUUUUUCCUGUGUUAGCAAGCGUGCUACUCUCGUCAAUCCAUCCCUGAACCGGACUUCGACCUUACAGUGAGCAUAAAAAUCUUUUCUUGACAGGC
rnacentral:lncRNA from 1 species